AGAGCAUCUCAUCCUCCGGCUGCUGAGUCAUCCUGCUCUGGCAGUUAUUUAAACAGAAGGCUCCAGGAGACAUACAAUCAACACUCCACUCAGACAAUGCCCAGACCUCCAGAAACCAUGUGUCAAGCUCGGAUUGCCUUAGACAGGUGCAAUUUAAGAACAGCUUUCAUCCUCUUUUCUCUCAUAUUGUCACACUAUGUGUUCUGACUUCUGGCUCCUUUCCUCACAAGAAGCUCACCCAGCUGGAACUCUUAUGGGACCUUGGCACCAGAGACCACAAAUUCCUCUUUGAAGUUUUCUAACAGCAACAAUGGUAUUUCUGACUUGGCUUUCUUGUAUUUCUCUCACGUUAACAAAAUUGGUUCAGCAUCUACCAUGGGCUACAUGCUGAGCUACAGAGUUUCGCUCUGUCGCCCAGGCUGGAGUGCAGUGGCGCGCGAUCUCGGUUCACUGCAAGCUCCACCUCCCGGGUUCACGCCAUUCUCCUGCCUCAGCCUCCUGAGUAGCUGGGACUACAGGCGCCCGCCACCACACCCAGGUAAUUUUUUGCAUUUUUAGUAGAGACGGGGUUUCACCGUGUUAGCCAGGAUGGUCUCGUUCUCCUGACCUCAUGAUUCACCCGCCUUGGCCUUCCAAAAUGCUGGGAUUACAGGCGUGAGCCACUGUGCCCUGCCAAAGGCCUUUUCAAAUCUAACGAUGUACUCACAUUUCCACCUGUCUGCCAGCCCUUGUCCAGUUUGACCUGGGCACUCACUGCUGCUCUGGUGGUGAGUACUGCUGAUGGUUCUUUUCCCUGCCCAUCCUUGAGGUGCUCGCUUCAAUAUGUCAAAUGAGGACUCUCAUUACAUUUGGCUGUCAUACAUCAGCCACAACUGUCCUGCCCAGAAGAGCUGGCCUUGGCUUUAAAGCCUACAUCCUGGCUGACCUUCUUUACUGCUUUAUUAAGGAAUCCAACUUGCUGUUUGCUAUCACAUGUGCUAUACAUGCUGUUGAUGAAACUGCUAAAGGGGCUGAAUGUGACUGACGUCUUUGGAAGGAUGAGACUUAGCGUGCCUGUACAGUUGUGUCCAAAUGCUGUCCUCAUCUCCCAAUGAAAAGGGUUUUUCCUUAAGCCUCACAACAAUUUACAGCAUUGCCAGCAGCAUUCAGUACAUUCAGAACAGGAUAAUUUCACCCGCAGCUGAACUAGGGCCAUGCCUGGGACAGACAGAGAAUGGCCUUCCAGCAGACAUGCCAAGAAGCAAGCCAGGGUCAGUGAGUGAAGAGGAGGGCAGGCCCAUUUGAAGCAACACAGUUUAUAUACAUGAAAAGAAAGAAGGAGAGAAGGAAGAAAGGAGGGCGGAAGGAAAGGAAGAAGGGAGAGAAGAAGAGAAGAAAGAAGCAGAGAAAGGAAGAGAAAAGAAAUUACGGCCAGUGCGGUGGCUCACGCCUGUAAUCCUAGCACUUUGGGAGGCCUAAGCGGGCUGAUCACCUGAGGUCAGGAGUUCGUAAGCCAGCCUGGCCAACAUGGUGAAACCCUAUCUCUACUAAAAAUACAAAAAUCAGCAGGGCAUGGUGGUGCGUGCCUGUAAUCCCAGCUACCUGGGAGGCUGAGGUAGGAGAAUCGCUGGAACCCGAGAGGCGGAGGCUGCAGUGAGUUGAGAUCAUGUCACUGCACUCCAGGCUGGGCAACAGAGUGAGACUCUGUCUCAGAAAAAAAAAAAAAGAAAGAAAGAAAGAAAGAAAGUUACCAUUAGUUUUUUGUUGUAUUUGCAAGCAAAGACAAAAGCACCAAGGUACUUGUUUCCUUCUGUAAUUAGAGUUUCAAAUAGACUAAAAGUUUCUGCUCUUAGGUGGGUCUAGAGACUCUCCAGUACCUCAGGACCUCAGGACACAUGGGGUCUCUUGGUUGUUUUCUUUUCAUUGUUGUUGUUUAUUUUAUUUUUGUUUUUAUUUUUUAACUUUAAAACAAUUUUUUGUAGAUGAAUAUGCUUACAUAUGUUUGGGGGUUUUUUUGAGACAGGGUCUUGCUCUGUUGCCCAGGCUGGAGAGCGGUGGUUUAACCACAGCUCACUGCAGCCUCGACCUCCCAAGGUAGGGACUGCAGGUGUGUACACUGGGGUGCACCACCACACCCAGCUAAUUUUUAAAUUUUUUUUUGUAGAUAUUGUCUCACUCUGUUGGCCAGACUGGUCUUGAAAUCCUGGGCUCGAGCAAUUCUCCUGCCUCGGCCUCGUAACGCGUUAGGAUUACAAGCGUGAACACCGCACCUGGCCAGCAUGUGGUCUCUUAACCAGAGGAGGCCUCUUCUGAACUAGGUAGAGGUCCUGAGAAUUGAUUCUGAGAGUAAAAGGCUCUUUGUUCUCCUCAGAGUAGAUUAGAAUCCCUAAUGAUAGAGCAUCUAUUAUUCCUCUAGUGGUCCAUGCCCAACAGAUUCAUCCAAGAAUAGAUGAAGAUCUUUGUAAUGUUGUGCAAGUAAUCUAAUCACCCCACAGAAGAGCUGUGACUUAAAUUAUCCCAGAGUCGGCCCACCUGUUUUCAUAAAGAUCAAUGUAACUUGUAAAUUUCUUCAGUUCUCCUCACCUAUCAUCAUUUGACUAACAAAACCCAGAAAACUAGGCUAGUUAUGGUGGCCUAUGCAUAUAAUCCCAACUCUUUGAGAGGCCAGGGUGGGUGGAUUGCUUGAGUCCAGGAAUUCGAGACCAGCCUGGGCAACAAAGGGAGACCCUGCCUAUAUCCCAGCUAUGCAGGAGGCGAGGCCAGAGGAUUGCCUGAGCCUCAGAGGUUGAGGCUGUAGUGAGCCAUGAUUGCCCCACUACACUCCAGCCUGGAUGACAGAGUGAGACCCUGCCUUAAAAAUAAUAAUAAUAGUAAUAAUAUUUCAUAAAGAUACAGGAAACUAGAUUAUAAUUGACAUUUUCAAAGUGAAAUACUGUCUAGAAUGGUGCUUGGCCAACAGUAAGCUUUUUGUAAGUGGAAGUCAUUACUACUACUAUUUCUUUCAUUAUUAUUACCAUUACUACUUUUUUUUACAAAAAAAAAACCCUGGACAACACACUGAAACCAUUACUACUUCUACUACUAUAACUUAGGUUGCACCUGAUAGAGCCAGCAAUUUUUCCAAGGUAUGACAAUGGCCAUAUGUUUAAUGAUAUAAUUCUAUGGCUCAGUGUAUCUCAGCCUUUUUAAACCCUGCUCUUCUUUUGACAAUUGUAAAAAUCUUAAACUGACCUCCAGUUGAAAUCCUCUGUCAAGAAGAUAUUGUCGGCCAGGGGCGGUGGCUCACACCUGUAAUCCCAGCACUUUUGGAGGCCGAGGUGGGAGGAUCACUUGAGGUUAGGAGUUCAAGACCAGCCUGGCCAACAUAGUGAAACCCCAUCUCUACUAAAAAUACAAAAAUUAGGCAGGCAUGGUGGUGUGUGCCUGUAAUCCCAGCUACUCAGGAGGCUGAGGUAGGAGAAUUGCUUGAACCUGGCAGGGCAGAGGUUGCAGCAAGCCGAGAUCACGCCACUGCUCUCCAGCCUGGGUGAGACUGUCUCAAAAAAAAAAAAAAAAAAGAAAGAAAGUAAGAAAAAGAAGAAAUCCCAAUCUCUUCUUUUAUGUGGAUUCUUCCUCACUUGAAUAAUACUUUUCUUCCCCAGUAUUCUCCAUAUUAUCCCAGAGUCAGCCCCUCUGUUUUUGUAAAGAUCUACGUAACCUCCUCUAAGUUUCCCAGUUCUCCUCACCUAUCAUAUCAUUUGGCUCAACAAAGGGCAGGAAGCUAGAUUCUAAUUGAUAUUUUGAGGCCGGGAGCAGUGGCUCAUGCCUGUAAUCACAGCACUUUGGGAGGCUGAGGCGGGCAGAUCACUGGAGGUCAGGAGUUCGAGACCAGCCUGGCCAAUAUGGUGAAACCUCGUCUCUACUAAAAAUACAAAAAAUUAGCCAGGCUUGGUGGCUUGUACCUGUAAUCCCAGCUACUCAGGAGGCUGAGGCAGGAGAAUAGCUUAAACCUGGGAGGAAGAGGUUGCAGUGAGCCGAGAUUGCUCAAUUGCACCCCAGCCUGGGUGACAGAGCAAAACUCCAUCUCAAAAACAAACAAACGAACAAACCUGAUAUUUUCAAAAUUGAGGCAAUUAUAACAGCUAUUUAGCCAAGCAUUAUGAUAGCAAUAAUAGCAAGAAAAUAAAUUAGUUAACAAAUGAGUCUCAGAAGCCCAAUGAUUUUUAUUUUAUUUUUAUUUUUUGAACUUUUAUUUUAGAAUCAGGGGAUACAUGUGCAGGUUUGUUACCCGGGUAUAUUGCAUGAUGCUGAGUUUUGGAGUAUGCAUGAAUCCAACCUGUCAUCCAGGUAGUGAGUAUAGUACCCAACAGAUAGUUUUUUUAACAUUUACUUCACUCCCUUCCCCAAUCUUGUAUUCCCCUGUGUCUACUGUUCCCAUUUUUAUGACUGUGCCAACAAUAAUUUUUUUUCUUUUUUCUUUAAAUAGAGAUGGGGGUCUCUAUUUAAAGAGCCUCCCAAAGUGCUAGGAUUACAGGUGUGAUCCAUUGCACCUGGCCCAUGCCAACAAUAUUUGAAACCCUUAUCUGCGUGUACAAGUUUGCUACUGGUUUUGUUUUGCUCAUUAAUACAUCCCAAGCAUCUAUACCUGGCUUGUAGUACCAGCAUGUAGUAGGUGCUUAAUAAAUAUUUAUUGAAUAAAUAAAUUAGUUUGACAUUAGUUUAACAUCUCAAGUAAAACAAAAUACCAUUCAAUUAAUUCUCUUCUUCUACUUUUUUCUUUUAAGAGAGACAAAUAGUCACACAUACAUCAGCAGGAGAGGAUACAAUUUCCUGUGUUUAAGUUUUUAUGAGUUACUUUAGUUCAAAUGUCACAGAAAAUUAUAUUGAACUCUUGACCAAUCUAUCUAUUUUUUCCAUUGGAGUAUUGACCCAAAUAAGAAAUAGCAUAAAGGAAAAAUUAUUUUUUGGCAGAAAAAUAUUCUCUCUAAAUUCUUGUGUGUUUUGUUUUGAUUUUUUCCUUAGUGACUGGAGGCCAGUUUCAAUCCACUGAAGCACAGAUUCCAAAUUUUCAAUCUGGUUUUCUUGAGUAGUGACUGAGUGCCAAAAAUGAAGCAAUGACACAACAUCACCAUCAAGACACUCCCCAGCACGCACACACAUGCCAGAGUCCAACACCAAGAUACUCCCCAGCACGCACACACACGCCAGAGUCCAGGCCAUAUUCGGGUGGCUUGCAAGCUUCUUCCCCCCAAGUAUUUACUCUCAAAAUAAUGGUUUUUGUUUUGUUUUGGUUUGGUUUGGUUUGUUUUUUUCCAAAUACAUUUCUUCCCUAUAUCUUUAACCAAUUCUCAUAAAAUUUUGUCUAAUACACUGGUCAGUGUAUUCCAGACCCUAAAAGAUAACAUAAUGAAACUAUCUAUGACUAAAAGGUAAUCAGGAUCUUCUACUUAUCCUUUUUUCCUCCCUCUUAAACUUUAAUUUUGAUACAUUUGGGAGUGAAAUGAUGACAAUAAAUGCAAAGUAAUUAUUGAAGAAACAGUAAUUUUGUAUUAGCUUACUGAAAAAAAAAAAAAAGAUAACCAAAUAUAUUUUGGCAGCCCCAAACGAGUCACAUGUGAAAUGCAGUGGGAGAGCAGUGUCCUGAAGGAAAAGGUGGCCUGCUGGACAGCCAAGAGAACAAACAUCCACUGCAAGUAAUAUGAGCUCUAAGUUUGGACUAGGCCUAUGUCUGCUCUGAGACUUGGGGCAAUUCACUUAAUCAGAGCCUUAAUCAGCUACGGACUAGCAAUAUCCAUACCCGCUACUUAUUUUGUAAAUCUCCUUUCUAAAGUUAACUCUAUUUAUUGUUCCAUAAUCCCAUAAAUUCUAGAAUCUUUUCCUGUUAUAGCCAAGUUGUCUAUCAUUGACAGAGAUAUUCACCUGGUUGUUUUGGCUUCUCUAAUCCUCCUGGUGAGAACACCUCCAAGGGAGCUUUCAGUGGCAUUUAAGGUCACUUGUGCUCUUGGUCCUAGAAACUGCCUUGAUAGUGGUUUUAGCUCACAUGAGGAACAAAACCCAUCAGAAGAUGUCAGAAGAUAAGGAUUUUUGUCCUGAUGCUACACUUACCAGCUGUCCCUCAGUGUUCUACUUCUUAAAAAAAGAGAGAUGGAUAAACAGAGGCAACCCGAGGAUAAAGGCCUUGCUCAGUGUCACACAUUUCAGUCACUAAAUAAGACACAAUGGAUGCCAGUAUUCUCAUCCCCUCACAAAUAAAGAGCCUUCAAGCUCUUGCAGUCAACAAGAACUUUUGGAAUGAUUUCACUGCCUGAAAAGGCAGAUACAUAGGUGACACCCACAAAUAGGAAGAAAAUCAACCUGAACCUGAGUGUGUGGGCUCACUGACUCUAAGCAGUAGAGACAGAAGAAAAAGUUUUAGCAAAGAAGGGUUCUGAAAGAAAAUAAAUAUAGCUCGUUAUCAAGUGCUGUUUUUACACAGUAAAACAUGGGCAAAAUUACUCUUCUUUAAGUAGUAAUUCUUAUCUCUUGAUUAAGUCACCUACUCAUUCAUUUAAUAAAUACAUACUGAUUGUUUUCUAUGUGUUGAGCACUCAUCUCUGUAUUGGAAAUAUAAUAAUGACCAAAGUUGACAAUAGUAAUAACAAUAAUAGCUAAUAUAGCAGGCACUAAUAAUUAUUUGUUGAGUAAUAUGUCAAAAUUCAGUGUGAACAGCAUUCUAUUUGGGGCUGCAUCCACUGACUAUAACACAGCUAAUCUAUCUGAAAUGUUCCAGCUUUGGGCCUCUCUAACAGAAGAAGCUGUUGUUGGGCCUGCCUCUAGUUGGCGAUGCAUCCACCAAUGAGAAUGAAUUUAUGAUCGACCACUCUUCCUGUAAAGGCCGCUGGAACUGACAGCAUUGUGAUUUUCUUUUACUGUUAGUUUUAAAUUACUAGAACCAACUCAAUUACUAGAACGAACUUUACUUCUUUGUUUCCUACUUAUCAAAACAGUAAAAACAACAAGUAAAAGAAAUGCCAUCUUAAUAUUGUUUUGAUGACAAAACAGUAUUCCUUUUAGUUGUGCUUCAAAUGGAAUAAGAUGCAAACAGGCUUGGUAUGGUGGCUCACCCCUGUAAUCCCAGCCCUUUGGGAGGCCAAGGUGGAAGGAUUGCUUGAGGCCAUGAGUUUGAGACCAGCCUGCGCAACAUAGCAAGACCGUGUCUCUACAAAAAAUAAAAAAUUAGCUGAGUGUAGUGGUGUGUGCUUGUGGUCCCAGCUACUUUUGAGGCUGAGGAGGGAGAAUCUCUUGAGCCCAGAAGGUCGAAGUUGCAGUGAGCCGUGAUCGUGCCAUUGCUCUCCAGCUUGGACAACAAAGCAAGACCCUAUGUCAAAAAAUAAAUAAAUAAAAGACAUAAACAUAUCUGAGAUUAACUUUCAGUGGUAAAUUUGUUCCAUAUAUGAUUUUUAAGGUUAAAUGCUUUGGAAGCUUUAAAAACCAUUUCAGCCCUUUUAAAUGCCAACUUACACUGAUGAUGCUCUCAGAUGUUAGGAAAUCUUUUGAGCAGAAAAUGGAAGUGGGGGUGUUGAGGCAGGGAGGAGAGUGAUGCAAUAUUCCUUAGUGUCAUCCUGUGAUUUCACAAUUUGUUUUUCAAUCUGUUUGGACUUUCAAAAGGGAAGACUCUCAUAUGUCAACAAGCCCAUGAACUGAAGCUUAAAACACUGGAAACAACAACUGUAGAGUUUCAAGUAUAUGUACAUUUAUGUAUUCAUGUUCCUUGAUGGGAAUGCUGGCUGGUGUGAAUGUUCAAUCUCCUGAGAAAUGUAAAUUUUUCUCUGACAGAUUUAUUAGCUUGCUGUAUCUGAGCACAUGAGCAAAAACAAUGCCUAAUAAGAAAACUUUCUCUCUCCUUCAAAGUCAAACUUGGGAGAAAUGAAGGGAAAUCGAGUUUUCUUUGCUUGACAGUGUUCAACAUUCUUGUAGUCAGUGUGCUCAUGAAGAUUGCAAACUUUUUUUUUUUUUUAGAGCAGCUAGGACUACAGGCGCGCACCACCACACCCAGCUAAUUUGUGUAUUUUUAGUAGAGAUGGGGUUUUAACUAUGUUGGCCAAGCUUGUCUCAAACUCCUGACCUCAAGUGAUCCAUUCGACAGCUCUUUCUUUUUUUUUUUUUUUUUUGAGACAAAGUCUCGCUCUGUCACCCAGGCUGGAGUGCAGUGGUAUGAUCUCAGCUCACUGCAACCUCCGCCUCCUGGGUUCAAGCAAUUCUCAUGCCUUAGCCUCCCGAAU
rnacentral:lncRNA from 1 species